rnacentral:rRNA from 1 species
AUUGAACGCUGGCGGCGUGCCUAACACAUGCAAGUCGAGCGGUAACAGGUGUAGCAAUACAUGCUGACGAGCGGCGAACGGGUGAGUAAUGCUUCGGAAUCUACCUUAUGGUGGGGAAUAACUAGCCGAAAGGUUAGCUAAUACCGCAUACGUCCUACGGGAGAAAGCAGGGGAUCGCAAGACCUUGCGCCAAAAGAUGAGCCGAAGUCGGAUUAGCUAGUUGGUAGGGUAACGGCCUACCAAGGCGACGAUCCGUAGCUGGUCUGAGAGGACGACCAGCCACACUGGGACUGAGACACGGCCAAGACUCCUACGGGAGGCAGCAGUGGGGAAUAUUGGACAAUGGGGGAAACCCUGAUCCAGCGACGCCGCGUGUGUGAAGAAGGCCUGCGGGUUGUAAAGCACUUUUAGUGGGGAUGAAAUGUGCAGGGUUAAUACCUCUGCAUUUUGACCUAACCCACAGUAAAAGCACCGGCUAACUCUGUGCCAGCCGCCGCCGUAA